GACGAACGCUGGCGGCGUGCUUAACACAUGCCAGUCGAACGGAAAGGCCCUGCUUUUGUGGGGUGCUCGAGUGGCGGACGGGUGAGUAACACGUGAGUAACCUGCCCUUGACUUUGGGAUAACUUCAGGAAACUGGGGCUAAUACCGGAUAGGAGCUCCUGCUGCAUGGUGGGGGUUGGAAAGUUUCGGCGGUUGGGGAUGGACUCGCGGCUUAUCAGCUUGUUGGUGGGGUAGUGGCUUACCAAGGCUUUGACGGGUAGCCGGCCUGAGAGGGUGACCGGCCACAUUGGGACUGAGAUACGGCCCAGACUCCUACGGGAGGCAGCAGUGGGGAAUAUUGCACAAUGGGCGGAAGCCUGAUGCAGCAACGCCGCGUGCGGGAUGACGGCCUUCGGGUUGUAAACCGCUUUCGCCUGUGACGAAGCGUGAGUGACGGUAAUGGGUAAAGAAGCACCGGCUAACUACGUG
rnacentral:rRNA from 1 species